rnacentral:rRNA from 1 species
UACGUAGGGGGCAAGCGUUGUCCGGAAUUAUUGGGCGUAAAGAGCGUGUAGGCGGCCAGGUAAGUCCGCUGUGAAAUCUCGAGGCUCAACUUCGAGCUGUCGGUGGAAACUAUCUGGCUAGAGUCCGGAAGAGGAGAAUGGAAUUCCUGGUGUAGCGGUGAAAUGCGCAGAUAUCAGGAAGAACACCCGUGGCGAAGGCGGUUCUCUGGGACGGUACUGACGCUGAGACGCGAAAGCGUGGGGAGCGAACAGG